rnacentral:rRNA from 1 species
UACCCCAAACCGACACAGGUGGUCGGGUAGAGAAUACCAAGGCGCUUGAGAGAACUCGGGUGAAGGAACUAGGCAAAAUGGUACCGUAACUUCGGGAGAAGGUACGCUGCCCUUGGUGAAGUCCCUUGCGGAUGGAGCUGAAGGCAGUCGCAGAUACCAGGUGGCUGCAACUGUUUAUUAAAAACAUAGCACUGUGCAAAUUCGAAAGAAGACGUAUACGGUGUGACGCCUGCCCGGUGCCGGAAGGUUAAUUGAUGGGGUUAGUCUUCGGAUGAAGCUCUUGAUCGAAGCCCCGGUAAACGGCGGCCGUAACUAUAACGGUCCUAAGGUAGCGAAAUUCCUUGUCGGGUAAGUUCCGACCUGCACGAAUGGCGUAAUGAUGGCCACGCUGUCUCCACCCGAGACUCAGUGAAAUUGAAAUCGCAGUGAAGAUGCUGUGUACCCGCGGCUAGACGGAAAGACCCCGUGAACCUUUACUACAGCUUGGCACUGAACAUUGAGCUACAUGUGUAGGAUAGGUGGGAGCUUUGAAGCGGUGACGCCAGUUGCCGUGGAGCCGACCUUGAAAUACCACCCUUGUAUGUUUGAUGUUCUAACUUGGCCCCGUUAUCGGGGUGAGGACAGUGCCUGGUGGGUAGUUUGACUGGGGCGGUCUCCUCCCAAAGCGUAACGGAGGAGCACGAAGGUGGGCUAAUCACGGUCGGACAUCGUGAGGUUAGUGCAAUGGCAUAAGCCGCUUGACUGCGAGAAUGACGGUUCGAGCAGGUGCGAAAGCAGGUCAUAGUGAUCCGGUGGUUCUGAAUGGAAGGGCCAUCGCUCAACGGAUAAAAGGUACUCCGGGGAUAACAGGCUGAUACCGCCCAAGAGUUCAUAUCGACGGCGGUGUUUGGCACCUCGAUGUCGGCUCAUCACAUCCUGGGGCUGAAGUCGGUCCCAAGGGUAUGGCUGUUCGCCAUUUAAAGUGGUACGCGAGCUGGGUUUAGAACGUCGUGAGACAGUUCGGUCCCUAUCUGCCGUGGGCGUUGGAGAAUUGAGAGGGGCUGCUCCUAGUACGAGAGGACCGGAGUGGACGAACCUCUGGUGUUCGGGUUGUCACGCCAGUGGCAUUGCCCGGUAGCUAAGUUCGGAAUCGAUAACCGCUGAAAGCAUCUAAGCGGGAAGCGAGCCUCAAGAUGAGUUCUCCCUGAUACUUUAAGUAUCCUAAAGGGUUGUCGGAGACUACGACGUAGAUAGGCAGGGUGUGUAAGCGCUGUGAGGCGUUGAGCUAACCUGUACUAAUUGCCCGUGAGGCUUAACC